UACGAAGGGAGCUAGCGUUGUUCGGAAUUACUGGGCGUAAAGCGCACGUAGGCGGAUCGAUCAGUCAGGGGUGAAAUCCCAGAGCUCAACUCUGGAACUGCCUUUGAUACUGUCGAUCUAGAGUAUGGAAGAGGUGAGUGGAAUUCCGAGUGUAGAGGUGAAAUUCGUAGAUAUUCGGAGGAACACCAGUGGCGAAGGCGGCUCACUGGUCCAUUACUGACGCUGAGGUGCGAAAGCGUGGGGAGCAAACAGG
rnacentral:rRNA from 1 species